GAUGAACGCUGGCGGCGUGCCUAAUACAUGCAAGUAGAACGCUGAAGGAGGAGCUUGCUCUUCUGGAUGAGUUGCGAACGGGUGAGUAACGCGUAGGUAACCUGCCUGGUAGCGGGGGAUAACUAUUGGAAACGAUAGCUAAUACCGCAUGACAACAGUUAUUGCAUGAUAACUGUUUAAAAGGGGCAACUGCUCCACUACCAGAUGGACCUGCGUUGUAUUAGCUAGUUGGUGAGGUAACGGCUCACCAAGGCGACGAUACAUAGCCGACCUGAGAGGGUGAUCGGCCACACUGGGACUGAGACACGGCCCAGACUCCUACGGGAGGCAGCAGGAGGGAAUCUUCGGCAAUGGACGGAAGUCUGACCGAGCAACGCCGCGUGAGUGAAGAAGGGUUUCGGAUCGUAAAGCUCGGUUGUAAGAGAAGAACGAGUGUGAGAGUGGAAAGUUCACACUGUGACGGUAUCUUACCAGAAAGGGACGGCUAACUACGUG
rnacentral:rRNA from 1 species